rnacentral:rRNA from 1 species
GACGAACGCUGGCGGCGUGCCUAAUACAUGCAAGUCGAACGCUGAAGGAGGAGCUUGCUUCUCUGGAUGAGUUGCGAACGGGUGAGUAACGCGUAGGUAACCUGCCUGGUAGCGGGGGAUAACUAUUGGAAACGAUAGCUAAUACCGCAUAAGAGUAGAUGUUGCAUGACAUUUGCUUAAAAGGUGCAAUUGCAUCACUACCAGAUGGACCUGCGUUGUAUUAGCUAGUUGGUGGGGUAACGGCUCACCAAGGCGACGAUACAUAGCCGACCUGAGAGGGUGAUCGGCCACACUGGGACUGAGACACGGCCCAGACUCCUACGGGAGGCAGCAGUAGGGAAUCUUCGGCAAGGGACGGAAGUCUGACCGAGCAACGCCGCGGGAGUGAAGAAGGGUGUCGGAUCGUAAAGCUCGGUUGUAAGAGAAGAACGAGUGUGAGAGUGGAAAGUUCACACUGUGACGGUACCUUACCAGAAAGGGACGGCUAACUACGUG